ensembl:misc_RNA Vault Vault RNA
GGGCUGGUUUUAGCCCAGUGGUUCCUUCGAGUUUGGUUUCCCAACUGCCCGAGCCGAUUGGUUCGGUGGUUCGAGACCUGGGGUGCCCUCCAGUCCUUUA